rnacentral:lncRNA from 1 species
ACUCAUCAAAUCUCAUUCAAGGCAUUCAAAACAAGGAUCAUGCGAGAAAGGCAACGAAUCAAGUCUCAUUCAAGUCAAGAAUCAUUCAAAAAGGUAAGUAAUCAAGACUCAUUCAAGGCCCUUCAACCAAGUAGGCGUGUGAAUCCUUCGACAAUCUCCAUCUUUUCAAUUCAUAUUUGCAUGGAUACAAGACCAUCCAUAUCAUUCAAGUUUCCCACGACCAAGAACAUGGAAAAUUAAGAGUUAAUUCACCAAAUAUGAACUUUCCUUUUGAAGACCAUUUCCUAAGGAAAUCUAUCCAGCCGUGCAAGAAAUCAAGCUCAUUCAAAUUGUCAAUUUCAAAUAGUAACAUGGCUAAUUGCUUCGAGGGAAUUUCAGCCAAAACAAGGCCAAAUCAAAUAAACCAUUAAAUUCCAACCAAC